rnacentral:rRNA from 1 species
CUACGGGGGGCUGCAGUGGGGAAUAUUGCACAAUGGACGAAAAUCUGAUGCAGCAACGCCGCGUGGAGGAUGACACAUUUCGGUGCGUAAACUCCUUUUAUAUAGGAAGAUAAUGACGGUACUAUAUGAAUAAGCGCCGGCUAACUCCGUGCCAGCAGCCGCGGUAAUACGGAGGGCGCAAGCGUUACUCGGAAUCACUGGGCGUAAAGAGCGUGUAGGCGGAUAGAUAAGUCAGGAGUGAAAUCCUAUGGCUCAACCAUAGAACUGCUCUUGAAACUGUCUAUCUAGAAUAUGGGAGAGGUAGAUGGAAUUUCUGGUGUAGGGGUAAAAUCCGUAGAGAUCAGAAGGAAUACCGAUUGCGAAGGCGAUCUACUGGAACAUUAUUGACGCUGAGACGCGAAAGCGUGGGGAGCAAACAGGAUUAGAUACCCGCGUAGUC